AUGAAGCUGGAAUCGCUAGUAAUCGCGGAUCAGAAUGCCGCGGUGAAUACGUUCCCGGGUCUUGUACACACCGCCCGUCACACCAUGGGAGUCGGGAAUGCCCGAAGCCGGUGACCGAACCGCAAGGACGGAGCCGUCGAAGGCAGAUUCGAUAACUGGGGUGAAGUCGUAACAAGGUAAC
rnacentral:rRNA from 1 species